CCAAUAGCGUAUAUUAAAGUUGUUGUGGUUAAAAAGCUCGUAGUUGAACCUUGGGCCUGGCUGGCCGGUCCGCCUCACCGCGUGUACUGGUCCGGCCGGGCCUUUCCCUCUGUGGAACCCCAUGCCCUUCACUGGGUGUGGCGGGGAAACAGGACUUUUACUGUGAAAAAAUUAGAGUGCUCCAGGCAGGCCUAUGCUCGAAUACAUUAGCAUGGAAUAAUAGAAUAGGACGUGUGGUUCUAUUUUGUUGGUUUCUAGGACCGCCGUAAUGAUUAAUAGGGACAGUCGGGGGCAUCAGUAUUCAAUUGUCAGAGGUGAAAUUCUUGGAUUUAUUGAAGACUAACUACUGCGAAAGCAUUUGCCAAGGAUGUUUUCAUUAAUCAGGAACGAAAGUUAGGGGAUCGAAGACGAUCAGAUACCGUCGUAGUCUUAACCAUAAACUAUGCCGACUAGGGAUCGGACGGUGUUAUAUUUUGACCCGUUCGGCACCUUACG
rnacentral:rRNA from 1 species